rnacentral:precursor_RNA from 11 species
GACGCGUGGUUCCCUCAGAGGGUUUGGACUCUAUCUCCCAUAAUGCUUAGCCGUAGCUCCGAGUGGCUAAGACUUCUGGGAGUUGAAGUUCCAACCCCCUAGAAACCCCGCCUUGGCA